rnacentral:rRNA from 1 species
CAGUCGCCGCGGGAAUACGAAGGGUGCAAGCGUUAAUCGGAAUUACUGGGCGUAAAGCGUGCGUAGGCGGGCGAUUUAGUCAGGGGUGAAAUCCCAAGGCUCAACCUUGGAACUGCCUUUGAUACUGAUCGUCUUGAGUUCGAGAGAGGUAAGUGGAACUGCGAGUGUAGAGGUGAAAUUCGUAGAUAUUCGCAAGAACACCAGUGGCGAAGGCGGCUUACUGGCUCGAUACUGACGCUGAGGCACGAAAGCGUGGGGAGCAAACAGGAUUAGAUACCCCAGUAGUCCCUGUCUCUAUACA